GGGGAAUAUUGGGCAAUGGGGGAAACCCUGACCCAGCAACGCCGCGUGAAGGAAGAAGGCCUUCGGGUUGUAAACUUCUUUUAGCAGGGACGAAGGACGUGACGGUACCUGCAGAAAAAGCAACGGCUAACUACGUGCCAGCAGCCGCGGUAAUACGUAGGUUGCAAGCGUUGUCCGGAAUUACUGGGUGUAAAGGGCGUGUAGGCGGAGCUGCAAGUCAGAUGUGAAAUCCCGGGGCUCAACCCCGGAACUGCAUUUGAAACUGUAGCCCUUGAGUAUCGGAGAGGCAAGCGGAAUUCCUAGUGUAGCGGUGAAAUGCGUAGAUAUUAGGAGGAACACCAGUGGCGAAGGCGGCUUGCUGGACGACAACUGACGCUGAGGCGCGAAAGCGUGGGGAGCAAAC
rnacentral:rRNA from 1 species